rnacentral:rRNA from 1 species
CAGUAGCCGCGGGAAUACGUAGGUGGCAAGCGUUAUCCGGAAUUAUUGGGCGUAAAGCGCGCGUAGGCGGUUUUUUAAGUCUGAUGUGAAAGCCCACGGCUCAACCGUGGAGGGUCAUUGGAAACUGGAAAACUUGAGUGCAGAAGAGGAAAGUGGAAUUCCAUGUGUAGCGGUGAAAUGCGCAGAGAUAUGGAGGAACACCAGUGGCGAAGGCGACUUUCUGGUCUGUAACUGACGCUGAUGUGCGAAAGCGUGGGGAUCAAACAGGAUUAGAUACCCCGGUAGUCCCUGUCUCUUAUAA